UGCUAUACAUGCAGUCGAGCGAAUCGACGGGAGCUUGCUCCCUGAGAUUAGCGGCGGACGGGUGAGUAACACGUGGGCAACCUGCCUAUAAGACUGGGAUAACUUCGGGAAACCGGAGCUAAUACCGGAUACGUUCUUUUCUCGCAUGAGAGAAGAUGGAAAGACGGUUUACGCUGUCACUUAUAGAUGGGCCCGCGGCGCAUUAGCUAGUUGGUGAGGUAAUGGCUCACCAAGGCGACGAUGCGUAGCCGACCUGAGAGGGUGAUCGGCCACACUGGGACUGAGACACGGCCCAGACUCCUACGGGAGGCAGCAGUAGGGAAUCUUCCGCAAUGGACGAAAGUCUGACGGAGCAACGCCGCGUGAACGAAGAAGGCCUUCGGGUCGUAAAGUUCUGUUGUUAGGGAAGAACAAGUACCAGAGUAACUGCUGGUACCUUGACGGUACCUAACCAGAAAGCCACGGCUAACUACGUGCCAGCAGCCGCGGUAAUACGUAGGUGGCAAGCGUUGUCCGGAAUUAUUGGGCGUAAAGCGCGCGCAGGUGGUUUCCCUUAAGUUCUGAUGUGAAAGCCCACGGCUCAACCGUUGGC
rnacentral:rRNA from 1 species